rnacentral:rRNA from 1 species
GACGAACGCUGGCGGCGUGCUUAACACAUGCAAGUCGAACGGAAAGGCCCUGCUUUUGUGGGGUGCUCGAGUGGCGAACGGGUGAGUAACACGUGAGUAACCUGCCCUUGACUUUGGGAUAACUUCAGGAAACUGGGGCUAAUACCGGAUAGGAGCUCCUGCUGCAUGGUGGGGGUUGGAAAGUUUCGGCGGUUGGGGAUGGACUCGCGGCUUAUCAGCUUGUUGGUGGGGUAGUGGCUUACCAAGGCUUUGACGGGUAGCCGGCCUGAGAGGGUGACCGGCCACAUUAGGACUGAGAUACGGCCCAGACUCCUACGGGAGGCGGCAGUGGGGAAUAUUGCACAAGGGGCGGAAGCCUGAUGCAGCAACGCCGCGUGCGGGAUGACGGCCUUCGGGUUGUAAACCGCUUUCGCCUGUGACGAAGCGUGAGUGACGGUAAUGGGUAAAGAAGCACCGGCUAACUACG